rnacentral:misc_RNA from 1 species
CCAAUUUUAGCGAACCUAACCCUUUGGGUUAUGGUCUCGCGAAAAAACUGUAUUUAAAACCCCACUCUUUAUAUAUAAAAUGAAUCUAUUAUAUAAUAAUAAUAAAUGAAGA